GUGCAGCAAUGCAUGCAGCUGACGAAUACUAAUCGGUCGAGGGCUUAUCCU
rnacentral:rRNA from 1 species